rnacentral:lncRNA from 1 species
CAAACAAAGUCCUUCCAUUGGCUCCCUUCCCAGGCAGCUUCUGCUAGUAUUUAGUAGGUACUAGUGCAGUGUAGGGCCCUUUUCUCAGGCAAAACCUAACAUCUGACCGCACCCUCUUUGCUAUUUCAAGAAAAAGAGAAAAAAAGCUUCUUUUUUCCUUCUUUCGUUAUAAGAUAAAUUCUCUAGUAGACAACCUCUCCCACUAAUUGUGUAUUAGCAGUGUAUUUUAUCUUGAGAGCUGACGCACUGGGCUUUCGACGUGGUGUGGAAAGCAGCCUGUUACAGUGCUGAAUUCAUAAAAAGGCCUUCAUGGUUUGUGAAAGAAUAUCUGUGUGCUUAGGCAGGAAACUUUUUGAUCUGCAGAAAAGCCAGAAGACAUCUAGGAAGGAUAAAAACAGAUUAGUUAAAAUCAUGAAAAUCACCAGUGACUGUGGCUCAGAGAAGCUGACUGACAUGUUGAUGUUUUAUUUGCUUGUGAAGAGCAAAAAGAAAAUUUGAACUCCUCUUUGCCUAACCCCAGAGCCCAUCCAUUCACUUCCACUAAGCCAUGUUGAAUUACAAGGCAGAAUUGGUGGUAAUUGCUCCAGUGGAUCAGAGGAGGUAAAGAUCGCUUCCAGCUGGGAUGACCAAAGAAGACAUCAUUAAGAAGGAGUAGCACUGAGCAAGAUUUUGAACAAUGGGCACAGGAACAAAGCAAAAACUACACACGGGAUAGCAUCGUAAAACCUUAUGACUCUGAAAAUCAAGUUGCCAGGCAGAGGAAGGACAUCACUUUCAGUGAAAUGCAUGCUGUAAAUAAUGUUACUAUUUAAAGAAUUGCCAACCAGACUCCUCACUUAUUAGAAAUGGAAUCCACAGAUGGGUUUAUAUUUCAGUUUCAAAUGAGUCAGUUAAACUGUCUGGACCUUAGUUUCUUCAUUUCUAAAGUAAGGGCUUGAACCAAAUAACCACUGAAGACUUCUCCAGGGAGGCACAUUUUGCAGAGCUUAUGUUUUUUUUUCAGAAUAUAAAAAGAUAUUGGAAGUACCUACUCCAAGGUAUAGCAGCUAUAUAACCUGGGUAAAUGGAAUUACUUUUGGGACAAGCAUAUUUACAUAUUUAUAUAGCUGUAACUAUGUAUUUAUAUAUAAAUCCAUUGUUUGAAUCUUACUGGCUAGUUUUAAGCUCUAAAGUUAAUUUUCAGAGCACCUUUCUGCUCUCAAAUAAAUUCUGUUUCCCCCAGUUUGCUUCCCAUUAGUUUGAAUACAAGUCAAUGUUUACAAUUUACUCAACAUGUAAUAAGAAAGUAAACAUAUAUUAAGCAUAUGAUAAAUACAAGAUUUGGGGAAUGUACACACUCAUUUUAUCUUUCUUUACUUCAGCCAUUGAAAAAGAUAUAAAAAUUGAAUUAUUGUAUAUUUAUGUACUAAUAAAAUAGAAUCCUUGUAGUAUUCAAAUUUAUUUAAAGUCAAGUCGUGGUGAUGCAUGGCUGUAAUCCCAGCUCUCCGGAGGCUGAGGCAGGAGAAUCACUGUAAAUUCAAGGUAGUCUGGGCUACAUAGGGAAUUCAAGGCCAGCCUGAACUACAUAGACCUUGCUUUAAAAACAAACAAACAAAAAAAAACAAAUGCAUUUGAAUACAUGCACAAAUCAUUUACUUUUGUAGUCUACAACCCAGAGAGUAUUCAAAGCAAGAUUAUAUUAAGUUUGAUUCUAUAAAUAGCUGUGUAUAUAACUAUGUAAAUCUCAAAUACAUACACAAGUUGAGACAGAAAUAUCUCAACUUCCUGUGUGGGCUGUGUGUCUGUGUGUGCAUGCACUCAUGUACACAUGCAGACAAGUUGAAGGGACAUGAGAACUUAAAAGGGUCAUACAAUGAUACUUAUUUUUUACUGACUUCAAAGCUUUAUUUUCUCCUGUCAACAUUUUCCCUCUAAAUUUCCAUCCCAAACAAGAAAAGAGGCCAACAAAAGAGAAGUAUUUUGUUUGAAUUUAGAGUGAGAAGAAAAUGAAACAUCAGUUUGCCAUAAUUUUUGCAAAGGCUACUGCAGGGAUUUUAGUGGGCAGCUCUUCCUUGAAUAGAAUUGCCCAGGAUGGAAUUCCAUCCGGCCAUUGUUGCUGCCAAACCCAUUCAGAGGGAACUGA